ensembl:misc_RNA NK2 homeobox 2, opposite strand
CAUCUUAAUACUUUUUCAGUAGAUCAUGAAGCAGUUUAUUUAAUAUUAUUUGGAUAACAAGCCUCCACAUGAAUGGGAUUCGAAUGUCAAUUGUCUUAGGGGGAAAAAGAUUUAUUGGUUGGUAAAUAUUGAGAAAGGAACGCUGAUAAAGACCGGCUUCAGCUGCGGCCUCGGCCGGGGACGGGAGAACAGGCCUGUGUUGUAUUUUGGGGCCCUGGGAAGGCAAAAACUGGUGAAUGUCUGCCUUUGUUGGUGGGUGUAAAAGUGGAGCCCACCACAAAUAAUUUCUUAUUUCUGUUCACAUAGAUUUUAAAUUAUGUAGCUCCCCUACCUUGUUAAGCAUUAAAGCGGUCUUGUUUAAGGAAAAGGCACUUAAAUAAUGAAGCUUAUGUAGUUUGUUUUCAGACAUCAAUAUCUGGCUUUGAGUGGCACAAAGAGAUAAAGGAGUGUGGAUUCAC